CUGCAACUCGCCUGCAUGAAGUCGGAAUUGCUAGUAAUCGUGGAUCAGCAUGCCACGGUGAAUACGUUCCCGGGCCUUGUACACACCGCCCGUCGCACCAUGGGAGUCGGUAACACCCGAAGCCUGUAGUCUAACCGCAAGGAGGACGCAGUCGAAGGUGGGAUUGAUGACUGGGGUGAAGUCGUAACAAGGUACC
rnacentral:rRNA from 1 species